rnacentral:rRNA from 1 species
GAGUAAUGCCUAGGAAUCUGCCUGGGAGUGGGGGAUAACGCUCGGAAACGGACGCUAAUACCGCAUACGUCCUACGGGAGAAAGCAGGGGACCUUCGGGCCUUGCGCUAUCAGAUGAGCCUAGGUCGGAUUAGCUAGUUGGGGAGGUAAUGGGUCACCAAGGCGACGAUCCGUAACUGGGCUGAGAGGAUGAUCAGUCACACUGGAACUGAGACACGGUCCAGACUCCUACGGGAGGCAGCAGUGGGGAAUAUUGGACAAUGGGCGAAAGCCUGAUCCAGCCAUGCCGCGUGUGUGAAGAAGGUCUUCGGAUUGUAAAGCACUUUAAGUUGGGAGGAAGGGCAGUUACCUAAUACGUAAUUGUUUUGACGUUACCGACAGAAUAAGCACCGGCUAACUCUGUGCCAGCAGCCGCGGUAAUACAGAGGGUGCAAGCGUUAAUCGGAAUUACUGGGCGUAAAGCGCGCGUAGGUGGUUCGUUAAGUUGGAUGUGAAAGCCCCGGGCUCAACCUGGGAACUGCAUUCAAAACUGACGAGCUAGAGUAUGGUAGAGGGUGGUGGAAUUUCCUGUGUAGCGGUGAGAUGCGUAGAUAUAGGAAGGAACACCAGUGGCGAAGGCGACCACCUGGACUGAUACUGACACUGAGGUGCGAAAGCGUGGGGAGCAAACAGGAUUAUAUACCCUGGGAGUCCACGCCGUAAACGAUGUCAACUAGCCGUUGGGGAGCCUCGAGCUCUUAGUGGCGCAGCUAACGCAUUAAGUUGACCGCCUGNGGAGUACGGCCGCAAGGUUAAAACUCA